GUAGGUGGCAAGCGUUGUCCGGAAUUAUUGGGCGUAAAGCGCGCGCAGGUGGUUCUUUAGGUCUGAUGUGAAAGCCCCCGGCUCAACCGGGGAGGGUCAUUGGAAACUGGGGAACUUGAGUGCAGGAGAGGGAAGUGGAAUUCCACGUGUAGCGGUGAAAUGCGUAGAUAUGUGGAGGAACACCAGUGGCGAAGGCGACUUUCUGGCCUGUAACUGACACUGAGGCGCGAAAGCGUGGGGAGCAAACAGGGAUUAGAUACCCUGGUAGUCCACGCCGUAAACGAUGAGUGCUAAGUGUUGGGGGGGUUUCCCGCCCCUCAGUGCUGCAGCUAACGCAUUAAGCACUCCGCCUGGGGAUACGGUCGCAAGACUG
rnacentral:rRNA from 1 species